UUCAAAACAGAGCAGCUCGUGUUAUUACCCGUUCUUCUUACGAUAUUUCAUCUAGUCAACUUCUAGAUCAGCUGCAGUGGAACACUUUGUCGGUUAACCGUCAAAAGCAAAAAGCUGUUGUUAUGUUUAAAACUCUUAAUGGUCAAUCUCCCCAGUACUUACAAGAAUUGUUUUCAUCCAGAAAUUGUCAAUAUUUACUAAGAAAUUCUAAUGGCAAGUUGUUUAUUCCUAA